AGCCAGCGGGUGCACAGUGUGAAAUCUUCAAAGCUUAUCCUCACCGCGAGUGAGCAGAGAACCUCCAAGGAAAGACCGAAGAGUCGGAACCAGUACACACCGAGCUUUGUUCUCCCCUGCCCUCGCUGCUGCGGCGAAUUUUCUUGCCCUGCACCGGCCACCGUGGCUAGCCUGCGCCACCGUCGCCCUUCCGCCCUCCUCCGGGAAGCUGAAAGAUCUUGGAUAAUUUUGAACAUGUCAUGUCUGGCAUGUUGUGGCGGCGAAGACACUCAAAGAGCACCUGAUAGUGGAGGUCCAUACCCUGGUGGCUACCCAGCAAGGAAUGAUGCUUAUCGCACUGCUGAUCCAACUCCCAGAGGUGUUCAACCUGUGAAAGUGCAGCCAAUUGCUGUCCCCACUAUUCCUGUUGAAGAAAUCCGGGAGGUCACACAGGGUUUUGGUGAUGAAGCUUUGGUUGGUGAGGGUUCUUUUGGCAGAGUGUAUUAUGGUAUACUGAAUAAUGGCAGAAGUGCGGCGAUCAAAAAGUUAGAUUCAAGUAAACAGCCAGAACAAGAAUUUUUGGCACAGGUUUCCAUGGUGUCAAGACUUAAGCAUGACAAUGUCGUGGAGUUGCUUGGUUACUGUGUUGAUGGAAACACCCGUAUCCUUGCUUAUGAAUUUGCUACUAUGGGUUCUCUUCAUGAUAUGCUUCACGGCCGGAAAGGUGUGAAAGGAGCUCAGCCAGGUCCAGUCCUGUCUUGGACACAACGAGUGAAAAUUGCUGUUGGAGCAGCAAAAGGCCUUGAGUAUCUUCAUGAGAAAGCACAGCCUCAUAUAAUACACAGGGACAUCAAAUCCAGCAAUGUACUUCUGUUCGAUGAUGAUGUAUCUAAAAUAGCUGAUUUUGACUUGUCAAACCAAGCUCCUGAUAUGGCAGCUCGACUUCAUUCAACUAGGGUUCUGGGAACAUUUGGAUAUCAUGCACCUGAGUAUGCAAUGACUGGACAACUUAGCUCUAAGAGUGACGUCUAUAGUUUUGGAGUUGUUCUUCUGGAACUCCUGACUGGAAGAAAGCCUGUGGAUCAUACAUUACCAAGGGGACAACAGAGUCUCGUGACAUGGGCAACUCCACGGCUUAGUGAAGACAAAGUCAGGCAAUGUGUCGAUUCAAGACUUGGAGGGGAAUAUCCUCCUAAAUCUGUUGCAAAGGAACUGAGCCUACCUCAGUUGGUGGGAGGUGUGUGUGUACAUCCCCACCACCCAGGUUCCAGUCCUCUUCGACUUCAAAUUUUAUGGCGAUAUCUUCUUAUUAAUAAUGGCACCUAGCUCCUCAUAGUUUGCAGCAGUUGCUGCAUUGUGCGUGCAAUAUGAAGCUGAUUUUCGACCAAACAUGAGCAUUGUGGUGAAGGCCCUCCAGCCCCUGCUGAAUGCACGUGCAUCCAACAACCAUGGCUGAGUGAAUGACUGCUCUUGCUUGUACUUGACGCCAGUAUCUGAUUCAGACAAUCAUGUAGCAUUGUAAUUUGUAAUAAGACAAAAGUAUGGUGCUUCUUGACCUUGGAUGUUCAUGAUGUGGAUGAGGAGAUAACUCCUUGCAGUUCCUGGAUGUUACUGACUAGUCUUCUGUACCCUGAUAAGGGCCAUAGCGUAUACAAGUAUAAACUGUAUGCCGUUUGUUUGGUUGCAUUU